AUUGAACGCUGGCGGCAGGCUUAACACAUGCAAGUCGAGCAGGGGAAGGUAGCUUGCUACCGGACCUAGCGGCGGACGGGUGAGUAAUGCUUAGGAAUCUGCCUAUUAGUGGGGGACAACAUCUCGAAAGGGAUGCUAAUACCGCAUACGUCCUACGGGAGAAAGCAGGGGAUCUUCGGACCUUGCGCUAAUAGAUGAGCCUAAGUCGGAUUAGCUAGUUGGUGGGGUAAAGGCCUACCAAGGCGACGAUCUGUAGCGGGUCUGAGAGGAUGAUCCGCCGCACUGGGACUGAGACACGGCACAGACUCCUACGGGGGGCAGCAGUGGGGAAUAUUGGACAAUGGGGGGAACCCUGAUCCAGCCAUGCCGCGUGUGUGAAGAAGGCCUUAUGGUUGUAAAGCACUUUAAGCGAGGAGGAGGCUACUCUAGUUAAUACCUAGGGAUAGUGGACGUUACUCGCAGAAUAAGCACCGGCUAACUCUGUGCCAGCCGCCGCGGUAA
rnacentral:rRNA from 1 species